CUUUACUCGAUAGAUACUCGUUUUAACGCAUCUAUGCAUUACUCCAUAGAUACUCGUUUUAACGCAUCUAUGCAUUACUCCAUAGAUACUCGUUUUAACGCAUUCUACUACACUGAUAGUUUAAAUGCAAAAUACCAAUAAAAUAUAUUGGCAAUGAAGCCCACAAAAGCAUAUUUGUGAAGUUUAAACUGUUAAUAAAAGAUCAGUUUCAGAAAAACUUGUGGUUAUAAUUGUAAUUUAUUGAUAAUUAUCACUUUUAAUUCAGGUGGCAUUUUCUGAAAAUCACACUGACUAUAAUUAUAUAUUAGGACAGCUAUUGAUGGAUGGAAAAGUAUAUAGGUGACCCAAAAACUAAGUUAUUAUUUGCAUUCUAUCAUUCAACUAUGGCAAAUUAUGUAAAAGUGAGACAUAAGAUUGGUGUAAUAAAAGGUGUGGUUACCAUAACAACCAUUAAAAUCCAUAGAUCACUUGUCAACAUUAUGGAAUUUAUGCUAAUUGACAUGGGCCCCUUGGAAGUGUGUUUAUUGUGCACAGCUGUCAAAACAAUGCAAUUAGGGUGUUGUUUGCAUCAUUAUUUAUGAUGUGGAUCAACAAAUUUUAUAGAAAGU
rnacentral:lncRNA from 1 species